UACAUGAUAUAACAGUCUCUCUGUGGUGCAA
rnacentral:piRNA from 1 species